CUAAGAGAGAGAGGGUGAAGGAAAUGUAAAGGCAGAGGGAGGGCCGGACAGAAAAGGUUGAAGAAGGAGAGGAAGAAGGAUGCAGGAUCAGAGGAGCCAGAAGCAGAGAGAGUGGAAGAUGGAGAAGUAGGACAAGUGCGGUCAGACGUCGACAGCGAUGCAGCUAAAACUCGACCCAGAACUGAGGGAGGAAGAUAGAGAUGCGAGGAUGUCUGUUGCAGAUGUGCAAAGUCUAAACGCCCGGCUCUGGAGAUCAGGAGUGUCCCAUUUUGGAAAAGGAGGUUAGAGUCUGUCUGUGGAGCAGAAAAGGCUGAAUGGCUCUCACCGUGUUAAGUACAGUUGAAUGUGUCCGGUUCGCACUUCAGCAGCGGAGUCUAGAGAGGGUCUGGCUAAAUUUGCACUGGAUGGGGUGAGAGUGACAGAAAAGGAGAAUGAAUGAGGUGGAUGGAUGGUGUGUGUGUGUGUGUGUGUGUGUGUGUGUGUGUGUGUGUGUGUGUGUGUGUGUGUGUGUGUGUGUGUGUGUGUGUGUGCUCACCCUCUGUGUUUGCCCCUGUGAAUUUGCGUCCGUGUGUGUUUUCCUGUGACAAAGUUCAGGGGGCCAGACUUGGAGAAAGAAAAGGGGAAAAUGAGAGAAAGUAAAGGAUUUGAAUGAGGUGCAGGGGGAGAGAGAGGGAGAGGGUGAGCAGAGAUCUGACGGAGAGAGCCGGAGGAGGACAAGAGGACAUUUUUUUGGAGGGAAAAGAAGACCAGGCACCUUGAAAUUUGUGUGGCGAGAUCGUCCGCUGCUUCACAGCACGAGUGGCGUAAAUUGGUGAGAUUUAUAGAUUGAAGCUGCAGGAAGCAACAACUCAGUCUGGGAAAUAUGUACAGAGAAAGAGAAAGAGUGAGGGAGAGGCAGAGUGGGAGAGAGAGAGGGUGGGGGGGAGAUCAAGAGCGAGGCUGCAUUAAUAUGCUAAUGGCCUGAGUGAAUGCACAACAGGCCCACUGACCAGGCUAAUCACUGGUGGACACACACUGAGGCUAAUCCCUCAUGCGGCACUCACACACAUGCAGUCACACACAUGCACACACAGCGCAGGUUAAAAUAUUUGGACAGUGACAUAUUUUGCAUUGAUUAGUCUUUGUGUUCCAGCAGAGGUUUGAAAUGCAACACCGAGCAUGAGGUUAAAGUUCUGCCUUUCAGAAAUAAACUUUUUUUCUUCACUGAUUAUAUGACCUAAGUGACCACAGUGAAACUCAACAGUGGUUUUUCUUGUUGCAGACCAGACUGAAAGGAAGAAAUCAGCACGAAAACCAGGCAAGAACUGAAGAGGACUGGAGAUAACGUGGCCGUAAUGGUAAGUAUGAUCAUCAAAAUGUAAUUUAAUUUCAUGCUGUAGCUUUUCAUGCUGUAGCUGAUACAGGUAAAGUGUUCUAUCUACUCUUAAAUGUACAUCGUUUGGAUAAAAGUGUCUGUGAAAUAAAACUGUAAAUUGUAAGUUUAGUAUGAAUUCAAACGCCUCUGAAUGUAUUUCUAGUCCAGAGUUCAGAGCCAGCAUAAUCAAAAGAAAUGUGUCAGUGUCCAAAUACUGACACACAAGAAAAGAUGAAAAAGAUAAAUUUAAAUGUUAAAGUAUUCUCAGCCACCGAAUUUACUCCAAUGUAGAACUUUAUCAUUUUCAAGCUGUUGCUUUUAAGUGUCAUUUAAUCUGAUGGUGUUAUGUAAUGCAGUUAAUCUUUAUUACUGUUGUAAUGCUGGUAAAAUGUGUGCAGAAUACAAAUAAUAAAACCAAAUUUCCAAAACCA